rnacentral:rRNA from 1 species
AUUGAACGCUGGCGGCAUGCCUUACACAUGCAAGUCGAACGGCAGCACGGGAGCAAUCCUGGUGGCGAGUGGCGAACGGGUGAGUAAUAUAUCGGAACGUGCCCAGUAGUGGGGGAUAACUGCUCGAAAGAGCAGCUAAUACCGCAUACGACCUGAGGGUGAAAGGGGGGGAUCGAAAGACCUCUCGCUAUUGGAGCGGCCGAUAUCAGAUUAGCUAGUUGGUGGGGUAAAGGCCUACCAAGGCAACGAUCUGUAGUUGGUCUGAGAGGACGACCAGCCACACUGGGACUGAGACACGGCCCAGACUCCUACGGGAGGCAGGAGUGGGGAAUUUUGGACAAUGGGCGCAAGCCUGAUCCAGCAAUGCCGCGUGCAGGAAGAAGGCCUUCGGGUUGUAAACUGCUUUUGUCAGGGAAGAAAUCCUCUAGGUUAAUACCCUUGGGGGGAUGACGGUACCUGAAGAAUAAGCACCGGCUAACUACGUGCCAGCCGCCGCAGUAAUAC